UCUAAUCUUGUUUUUGAAGAAGUUUUAUCAAUUUACCAUCAUUUGCAUACGCAUCGUGGAACAUAUAAAAGCAUUGACAUACAAAAUGCAAGAAAAAUUUGACAAGUACUUUAAGAGCUACAAUAUUCUCUUUGCAAUUGCAGUUGUUUUUUAUCCUUCGGUCAAGUUGUUACUUGAAGUAUUUGCUUGACGAUUUGGACAAUCCUUAUGCAAUGGUAAAAUAUGAAGUUAUAGAGAACAUCCUUCAUGAAUUGUAUGCCGAAAAAUAUAUAUGAUAAUAGUGACACAAUUAAUAUGCGAAGGGGCAAUGCAUCCACUAGUACCAUGAUUGCAAUGGAAGAGUUUAGAAGUGUUGCUAGAUAUGAGUUCAAAAUAUACUUAAGCUCUGUAUUUCCUAUAGUGGCUCACACAGAUCUAGACAAAUAUUUGAUUGAUCCAACAGAAGAAAUUGCACCUAGACAAAUAUUUGAUUGAUCCAACAGAAGAAAUUGCACCUACUGCACAGUUUAACAUAUUAUCUUGGUGGAAGACAAAUGAAAGCAAAGAAAAAAUUGUAGCAAAGAUGGCUCGAGUUGUAUUAGUCAUUCUUGUAUCUACAGUUGCUUCAGAAUCUACAUCAGUAUAUCAGGAAGAAUUCUUAAUGAUUAUCGAUGCUCAACUACUCCUGAAAAUAUUUAAUCAUUAAUCUACACACAGAGUUUGAUUUGUGAUGCACACAACUUGUGUGAAAUAUAAGAUGUUCGUAGUUCAAUCUAAUUUACUUUGCAUAUUAACACAUCAGUUUGCUUAAAUUAAUCAAACUACCUUGUUUGUAUCGUAAUAAAAACUUCAGCACGUGAAGGCUCUGGUGCAUCCUCUAGAAUUUGUAUAAAUUAAAAAUAUAAUCAAUAAUAGAUAUAUAAGUGAAUAAUAACAAGAUGUUUUUGAUUAGUGAAAUUACGUUGUCUACUCAAAAUCGAGCAAAACUUUUUGAGCCAAUAGUGUGAGGGAACAUCGACAUUUCACGGUUUGCUUUAUUUUUUGCACUGUGCUCCUACAAGAUUAUCAAAUAUUAAAACUUGAUGAAAUUAAAACCAAGCACAAAUAAAAUUGUAUCUUAUCUAUUUGCAAACCUUUGAUUGCCUACUUUCAAAAUGUCAGAUCAAGCACCUCCAUUGAUCAUAUGGGAUCAUCACCUUGCAAUGUGUAACGCUCGGCUUUUGCAGGACGGAUCGGGUCAGGGUCCAGACCCGAACCCGAACUCCUCGUGCGACAGGAGCCCGACACCGCCCUCUUCUCCCUCGUUUUUCCUUCUCCCUCACCUUUCCCUUGUCUAUCUCCUGGAGGUCUCUCGUGCCAGCGCAGAGAAGAAGAAGAAGAAGGAGGUGGUGCAGCGGUGACGAUGACGACGGCGGCGGCGGCGGCAGCUCUUGGCUUGGAGACGCAUCUUUCCCCUCAUAGCAAUGAGGUGAAUGCAUUGGUGGUGGCGGCAUUGAGGGAUUCUAGCCGUUUGGGGGCCUUUCGAACUCGUGGGGUGGUUGUCGAGAGGAUUGCAGCAGUUUAGAUUCUUGAUUUGGGGUACACCGGGCACGUCCCAUAGACCUUGAGCGACCAGAUUCGAAGCUCGAGGCAUUUUGGAGAGUUUUGUGGACGCGUGACAGAUAUAUCAGUGAGAUCUUCCUAUGGCAAGGUAGCUCUGGGUAGAAGGUCUGUGCUGACUGAAGUUUCAUUGCUUGGUUGUGUUGCUUGAAACAAGAGGGAUCUUUGAACAAGAGCACAAGUUUCAUUGUUUGGUUAUGAUGAUUAAAUUAGCCUAUUCUGAACCAGCUAGUUGAUGCUUCUUUUGGCACAUUGUGAAGAAAAUUGUAAAGAACUGUUUUCGUAUUGUUUUAUCUAAUAAAAAUGCAUCUAACAAAAAUGUAUUUGCAAUAAAA